UAGGGAGUACGUCAUCAUCCGGCGCCUGCAGAUAACCCUGCGUCUGGGUUCCUAAGUGGUUGGGAGCGUGUCUUUAUGGGCCGUGUUGGUUUUGUCCGACGUCUUAUAAGGUUUCUGCAUGCUGAAGAUCCAGUAGGAACUACUAAGAAGUAGGAACAGUGGGACUCCUAGAUGGAAACGACCAGAGUUUCUUCUUCACUGACUGCAAACUUGUUCUGUAAUAUGAUUGCAAGAUGUUUCUUUAUUUUGUUACACUGAUAUAUUUGAGGUAUUGUCUCAGAGUGUAGAUUUGUUUUCAGGUGAUGAUGAUAUUGAAUUGAACACAGAAACAUUCAAUUCACUAUCCUAACUAUAGAUUUAAGGAUUAGAUCAGUUUACUCACAUGGGUGAUGGGUGACAGACAUUCAGUUUUUUCCAUCCUAUAAGUAAAACUUAGUUGAAACAAAUCAUCAGUGCAAUUCUCAUUUGUAAAUAAGCAUGACAAAUGUUUAUUUACAUUUGUCAUGAUGGGUACAACAUCAAUCCUAAAAAAGAGUACAUAAGUCCAAUUUAUGAGGAACAUGCUGUAAUAAAGAGAAGCAAA